AUGGAUUUGUUUAUACUCACUUUAAAUUUAAAGCUAAGAAUUGCUUGUUCAAGCUUAAUAUGUGUAUUAAGAGAAGCAAAAGCAAAAUCAAAAUCAUUAGAAGAAGCAUUAGAAACGGAACAAAUAGUAGCAUCAUUCUUUUUAAUCCUGUUUAUACCAUACCUACAACAGUUACUACUAUCAAUAAAUACAAACAUUACAAUUCCUACUAAAAGCACAAACUUUGGUACAUCUAAGUACCUUUUUAUUGCAUUAUUAUUUUGA